UGGCUCAGAUUGAACGCUGGCGGCAUGCCUUACACAUGCAAGUCGAACGGCAGCGGACCUUCGGGUGCCGGCGAGUGGCGAACGGGUGAGUAAUAUAUCGGAACGUACCUUUCAGUGGGGGAUAACGUAGCGAAAGUUACGCUAAUACCGCAUAUUCUGUGAGCAGGAAAGCAGGGGAUCGCAAGACCUUGCGCUGAUUGAGCGGCCGAUAUCAGAUUAGCUAGUUGGUGGGGUAAGGGCCUACCAAGGCGACGAUCAGUAGUUGGUCUGAGAGGACGACCAGCCACACUGGGACUGAGACACGGCCCAGACUCCUACGGGAGGCAGCAGUGGGGAAUUUUGGACAAUGGGCGAAAGCCUGAUCCAGCCAUGCCGCGUGAGUGAAGAAGGCCUUCGGGUUGUAAAGCUCUUUCAGGUGGAAAGAAAGCGGAUGAGUUAAUACCUUGUCCGGAUGACGGUACCACCAGAAGAAGCACCGGCUAACUACGUG
rnacentral:rRNA from 1 species